CAGCAGCAGCCGCGGUAAUACGGAGGAUCCAAGCGUUAUCCGGAAUCAUUGGGUUUAAAGGGUCCGUAGGCGGUCUUGUAAGUCAGUGGUGAAAGCCCAUCGCUCAACGGUGGAACGGCCAUUGAUACUGCAGGACUUGAAUUAUUGGGAAGUAACUAGAAUAUGUAGUGUAGCGGUGAAAUGCUUAGAGAUUACAUGGAAUACCAAUUGCGAAGGCAGGUUACUACCAAUUGAUUGACGCUGAUGGACGAAAGCGUGGGUAGCGAACAGGAUUAGAUACCCGCGUAGUCCCUGUCUCUUAUAA
rnacentral:rRNA from 1 species